GGCGCGGCGGUCACUCGCGAACCUCGGCGAGGAUCCAGCGACGCGGAGCCGGCCGGAGGAGCGCUUCUCGUCGGAUGAGUGGGAAGACGGAGCCGGUCCUGCCGUUAACCGUCAGCCUCCGACUGCCGCUGAGGCCAACCGCCUGUCUUGGAAAUCGUCUCGUUUUAAACGUGCCGGGGCUCUGGUGCAAACCGUACCUGGAAGCGUGGCGCAAUGGAAAAGCUGUCAUUUCAGGGCUGCGCGAUAGCCCAGUUCCCGGCCUGGAGGUGUUAGUACUUCUGGAAAGAGCCUCAAAGAAGCUUUCAUCUGUAGAAAACCCUACGAGAAAAGCACAGAACACUUUUUAGAAAUC
rnacentral:lncRNA from 1 species